rnacentral:rRNA from 1 species
AGCAGCCGCGGUAAUUCCAGCUCCAAUAGCGUAUAUUAAAGUUGUUGCAGUUAAAAGCUCGUAGUUGAAUUUCGGGAUUGACGUGACGGUCAUGCCUUAAGGGGUAUGAACUGUUACAGUUGAUUUCUCACCUUCUGGAGAAACUUGAUGUCCUUUAUUGGGUGUCUUGCGGAUCCAGGACCUUUACCUUGAAAAAUUAGAGUGUUUAAAGCAGGCAUUUUUGCUCGAAUACAUUAGCAUGGAAUAAUAGAAUAGGACGGCAUGGUUCUAUUUGUUGGUUUCUAGGAUCACCGUAAUGAUUAAUAGGGAUAGUUGGGGGCAUUAGUAUUCAAUUGUCAGAGGUGAAAUUCUUGGAUUUAUUGAAGACUAACUACUGCGAAAGCAUUUGCCAAGGAUGUUUCAUUAAUCAAGAACGAAAGUUAGGGGAUCGAAGACGAUCAGAUACCGUCGUAGUCUUAACCAUAAACUAUGCCGACUAGGAAUCAGACGAUGUUAAUUUUUAAUGACUCG